AAAACAUCCAAAGGCUGCAUUUUUGCUGAAUCAUCGCUCUUCAAAGUUGUAAUCUCGUUCGUCGCUUUAUUGGUAAUACUCUUAACAGAAGUGUCGGGAUCCGAAGAAUACAACUCAAUUCCGUCAGGCUUCACAGUGUCCAAAGCAGAAGAAAUGGGUUCAUCAUUUUCUUGGGAAAGCAUUAAGCGAUUCUGUUCUUUUCUUGACAAUACUACAGCCAUUGCACCCUGCACCCCUAAGAAAUCCGGAUGAUUCGUAUUAAUAUAUGCACUUUGAAUAGCAAUCAAGCUUUC